rnacentral:rRNA from 1 species
AUUGAACGCUGGCGGCAGGCCUAACACAUGCAAGUCGAACGGUAACAGGAAACAGCUUGCUGUUUCGCUGACGAGUGGCGGACCGGUGAGUAAUGUCUGGGAAACUGCCUGAUGGAGGGGGAUAACUACUGGAAACGGUAGCUAAUACCGCAUAACGUCGCAAGACCAAAGAGGGGGACCUUCGGGCCUCUUGCCAUCGGAUGUGCCCAGAUGGGAUUAGCUAGUAGGUGGGGUAACGGCUCACCUAGGCGACGAUCCCUAGCUGGUCUGAGAGGAUGACCAGCCACACUGGAACUGAGACACGGUCCAGACUCCUACGGGAGGCAGCAGUGGGGAAUAUUGCACAAUGGGCGCAAGCCUGAUGCAGCCAUGCCGCGUGUAUGAAGAAGGCCUUCGGGUUGUAAAGUACUUUCAGCGGGGAGGAAGGGAGUAAAGUUAAUACCUUUACUCAUUGACGUUACCCGCAGAAGAAGCACCGGCUAACUCCGUG